AAUGGGGGCAACCCUGAUGCAGCCAUGCCGCGUGUGUGAAGAAGGCCUUCGGGUUGUAAAGCACUUUCAGCGAGGAGGAAAGGUGGCUAGCUAAUACCUAGUUGCUGUGACGUUACUCGCAGAAGAAGCACCGGCUAACUCCGUGCCAGCAGCCGCGGUGAUACGGAGGGUGCAAGCGUUAAUCGGAAUAACUGGGCGUAAAGCGCACGCAGGCGGUUAGAUAAGUCAGAUGUGAAAGCCCCGGGCUCAACCUGGGAACUGCAUUUGAAACUGUCUGACUAGAGUCUUGUAGAGGGGGGUAGAAUUCCGGGUGUAGCGGUGAAAUGCGUAGAGAUCUGGAGGAAUACCGGUGGCGAAGGCGGCCCCCUGGACAGAGACUGACGCUCAGCUGCGAAAGCGUGGGGAGCAAA
rnacentral:rRNA from 1 species